GUGUGUGUGUGUGUUCUGUGAGUCCGCCUAGCGUCGAGCUACUGAAUUUCUUCGUACCACUGACAUUGGUUUUUCCCAAGAACUGGUACGCCGCACUGACGAACGCUCUGCUGUCAGGAGCGCGAGUCGGGAGUGACGCAGUCCCGGCUUGCUGGAACUCUGGAAGAGGAUCUGGUCGUCUCUUCGCUCUCAACG